rnacentral:lncRNA from 1 species
UUUUUUUUUUUUAGGUUCUAAAGAUAAUACAAUUUUUUUUCUUAUUUAGGAAUGCCAAUAGGAAUAGGAUUGUAUUUAUUUAAACUAAUAAUCAUAAAUAAAUACAAUUUAUAUUUAAGAUUUGUAAAGUAAUGCGUACAAUUUUUAUUUCCGAUUUAGUCUUAUAAUAUUCUUAAAUUUCGAAUAGAAAUAAAGGAUUGUAAAGAUAAUAAUCAUUGAGAAACUAAUAGCAAAAAAAUUAGAACCACAAAAAAAAUAAUAAUUUUAAACUAAUAAAUAGGAAUCAAAAAAUAAAAAUAAUUUAAAAAUAAAAUAAUAAUAUAAAAUAGGAAUCAUAUAUUGAUUUUAUGAUAAUGUAAAUGAUUCUUGAUAAGUAUAUAUUGUGUUUGACGGGCACGGGAGGCGGCCCAAACUAAUUUUUAUCUAAAUAAUAAUAAAUUUUUUAUUAGUAUUAUGUUUGACGGGAAAAUGGCUAAAAUAAUUUUUUAACUAUGUUUUUAUCUAUGUUAUAAUAUAUAUUUUUGUUAAAACGGGAUCACAGUUCAAAUACUUUUUAUCCAAUUAUAAUCUUUAAUUUUAUCAUAAUUAGAAUAAUUUUUAUUAGUAUUGUGUUUGACAGUAAGGCGACUCAAACUAAUAUCUAAAUUAUAAUGUUUUGUUAUUGGUAUUGUGUUUGACAAGAGAGCGGCUCAAACUAAUUCUGGUCUAAAUUAUAAUAUUUAAUUUUAUCAUAAAAAUAAUAAUUAUGGAUUAAUAUUGUCUUCGACGGGAUGGAGUUCGAACUAAUGUUAUUAUUAGUAUUGUGUUUGACAGAAUGACCACUUAAACAAAUUUUUAUACCAAUUAUAAUAUUUUAUAUUUGUGAUAUGUUUAACGAAAAGAUGACUCAAAAUAAUGUGUAUGCUAUUAUAAUACUGAUUUAUAUCAAAAUUUAUCACACCGCCGCGAAGCGCGGUUUUUUUCACUAGUUUCACAAGUAUAUACGAUUUAAUGUAUAUCAGUUGACAUUCUUUGAAAAUUUGAGAUUUAAACCAAAACUUCAAGACUGUAUAAUCUAACUUUUAUUAAUUAUCAUUCUAAAUACAGCAUCUUAAAAAAAAAAAAAAAAACUCUCCAUAUUUAUAUAUAAUUUUAUUUUAUAUUAGUUGACAUUCUAAAUAUGUCAUUUUUAAAAAUUUUGAGAUUUAAAUCAACUUAUAUAAGUUGACAUUCUAAAUACAACAAUAAUCAAUAUGUGCAAGUUCCACAGUCUACUAUGUUCUAGGUACUGGAUCUUUCAAAAAAUAAUAUUGAUCCAGGCCCCAGGGACAAAAAUAUGGGCGCACUAGCUAUAUAUGCAAACUAAAAUAUAGUCCCUGUACUACUAACUAAGUUCUUGUGUCCUGUUGGAUUUCUAGUGUCUCCUCCAUAGAUGUAGAUGAAGAACGCUGCACCGAUGAUUGUGUAUGGAAGGUUGUCUGUUUUGCGGUUUGGCUUCUGGUGAAAAAACUCUGAGAUUGUGUACCUUGAUGGAAGUCUCUUAAAGCUUUAAAUCUUAAAUCAUCGGAAUUUGUAUUUGUUUCUGGGAUCGUAUCUGGAAUGGGAAGUUGUCCCUCAAGCAUGCUAACUACCUCUGACAUGAUCGGCCUGAUUGAUGGAGUUGCAUUUGUGCACAGAAGAGCAACUUUCACCAUUCUUUCUGCUUCUUCUUUGUCAACUUUAGAUCCCAGGAUUUUGUCAACAAGCUCCUCAAACUUCUUACUUGCUUGCAGAUGGCAAGCCUGGAAAAAAGUUAUAUAUCAGUGCUAUUAAUUAUAUUUAUCAAGAAUUCUAAUACUUGAAUAUGGUCGAUAGAAAAUGGACAAUGUAGGAUGUCGGGAGUACCCAGUCUAAAAGACAAAUGUAAUCUUCACUCGGCAUAUAAUUGUUGUUGUUCUUUCCGCUGACAAUUUCCAGUGCUACUACUCCGAAGCUGUAAACAUCAGCCUUGUCACUUAAGUAGCCCCACAACGCGUACUCUGGAGCCAUGUAUCCUCUGUAAACCAAGUGAAAAUGGGAGAGAUCAGAGUAAUACUGCCUAUUAAAGAUCUUUUACAUCAUUUCAAAUCUGAGAAUAUUGUCAGGUGUACUAAAUGUGUGGAUUUUUUUAUUUUUUAUUUUGGGGGUGGGGGGNNNNNNNNNNNNNNNNNNNNNNNNNNNNNNNNNNNNNNNNNNNNNNNNNNNNNNNNNNNNNNNNNNNNNNNNNNNNNNNNNNNNNNNNNNNNNNNNNNNNNNNNNNNNNNNNNNNNNNNNNNNNNNNNNNNNNNNNNNNNNNNNNNNNNNNNNNNNNNNNNNNNNNNNNNNNNNNNNNNNNNNNNNNNNNNNNNNNNNNNNNNNNNNNNNNNNNNNNNNNNNNNNNNNNNNNNNNNNNNNNNNNNNNNNNNNNNNNNNNNNNNNNNNNNNNNNNNNNNNNNNNNNNNNNNNNNNNNNNNNNNNNNNNNNNNNNNNNNNNNNNNNNNNNNNNNNNNNNNNNNNNNNNNNNNNNNNNNNNNNNNNNNNNNNNNNNNNNNNNNNNNNNNNNNNNNNNNNNNNNAUUUUUUAUUUUGGGGGUGGGGGGUGGGGGGGGGGCGCUUACAUUGUUCCAGCAAUUCGAGUGCUUAUGUGUGACUUGUCUUUAUCAUUAAGUUUAGCCAGCCCAAAAUCGGAAAUUUUAGGAUUUAAAUCCCCAUCAAGAAGAACAUUAGUAGCUUUAAUAUCUCUGUGCACAAUUUUAAGUCUUGAUUCUUCAUGAAGAAAAGCCAAGCCUCUGGCAAUCCCAAUACAUAUCUUGAACCUUGUUGGCCAGUCCAGCAUUAACUGGUUCUUUUCUGAACCUAAAAAUAAAAAACACUAAAAUAUUGCGAACACCAAAUGGAUGAUGAACCAAAAAGCAUUAUCUACUAAUUUACCAUAAAAACAAUAGAAUUUAACUAGAAUAGAACUCACUGAACAAAGAAUUGGCAAGGCUAUUAUUUUCCAUAAACUCAUACACCAGCAACAAUUGAUCUCCUUCAAUACAACAUCCAUAGAGCUUUACAAGAUUUGGGUGUUGUACACAGGAAAUCAUUGCAACCUCAUUCAAGAAUUCACGAUUCCCUUGCCUCGAUUGGGAGGAUAACUGCUUCACUGCAAUUACUUUACCAUCAGAUAAUGUACCCUGCCACAAAACAUUUACUGAGUCAGAACCAAAUAUAUAUGUUAUCAGACUGCACUUCAGUUCAAAAGAUACGUGAAAUUACCUUAUAAACUGAACCAAAACCACCUUCUCCAAUCUUGUUAAUGGCAUCAAAGUUAUUAGUAGCUGCUUUUAUAUGCUUUAAGGAAAAACAAACUGUCUGCAACUCUACUGCCUCAAAGUCUGUCCAAGGAAAAUACUUGUAUGAUGCCACAAUGAAUUUGUUUCAAGAAAAAGAGGCAAAACUCCUAAUAUAGUACAUCCUAAUUUCAAAAUCUUCACAACUGAACGUGUUUACUGUAUUGUUGACCAAACAUUGUGAAAAUAUGCCCCGUUCCUUUUUGUCAUAGUGAUGGUCUAUAUUUACAACUAUUGGGUUCUUAGCAGAGGUCGGCCUCGAAACUUUUGAAGUCACCAUAUACGCCAAUACAGAAUGAUAAUUUAUAACAGUAAGUAACAUAAAAAUUUGACAGUCCAAGUAAAUUUUUGGUAUGAAGAAGACCAUAUAAACUUUUAAGCAGCCUGGCUUCAUUACUAGAAGCUAGCUUUCUGUACUUUUAUGGUUCUUUCUCACCUUUCCCUCGACUUUUUUUGCCUUUGAAACAUCCUUUCCACCAAAGGAUGGUGAUGGACAAAGCAAUUACGCAGAAGACUGCAACUCCAACAAUAAGAUAGACAUUGCUGUUCUUCUUUCCUCCAGUUUUGCAAGAUCCAAAAUCUGUUCAUUAGUUCAAGAUACUAACAGUUAAUUUGCUAGACAACAAGAUAUCCCAAACAGAAAGGAAACUAGAUACAUAUUCUUAUAAUAACACAGGCACGUAUAUAUAAAGUUCCGUAUACACCAUAACUCAAAGCUGAAAAUACAAGUACAUCAAGUUUCACAAGUGGAACUAUCUUUAGCAUAACCAGGACUCUAAAAAGAUAAAUCGUAAAAUAUGAAUACAGAUAACCCUGCAUAUACACUAAAAUACCUCAAAUAAGUAGAACUGUGCAUUAACAGAUAAGGAAAAAUAAUUUACCAGGGAUGAGUCUUCAAGAAGUUGUAUUAAUAAAGAAAGGAGAUGGUGAGAAACAAUAAAAUUGUAAUGUUAGGUCUCAGUUCAAAUUUUCAUUAGUUCAGUACCAAUGUACCAUUAAACUAAAACUUAAACAUCUAGGCGCAUCAAGUAGAAUAAGCAAAUGACCACCAAUAUUGGUCUCAUUAUACGUAGAGGAACCACAUUUUGAUACCACUAUCAUAGUUAUAUCUUUAAAAUGCAUGGUUUCUGACUUCAUAGUCUAGGGUGACAAGUACUUACUUGGGUUCACUGAAAUAGCCGAUAUUAAGGGACCAUACACCCCUCUGCUAGGAACUCGUGUAGUCCCUUUGCCGGCCCAAUAAAAUCGGAUUUCAAUGAUAUUAUUAGUCACACUAGCAUUAUAUUGUUUAAUCACAGGCCGUUGAGCUUCACCCGCCUCUUCUUCAAUGUUAAAAUCCUUUUCGACUAAUUCUCCCUGAACCAAAACUGAGCUAAAUCUUAAACAUAUCAAGGAUUCACAAAUGUAAAUUUGAAACUUUGAGAAUUUACCUGGAUAUAAAUAUUAAAUAUCCGCUUCCCAAGAUUACUAUAACUAUUGUCAUUUGUAAAUUGUAUUUCUGAAAAAUGCAGAGACACCGCGUAACUCCCGUUUUGCAAGCAAUAUCGGAAAUAAGUGAGUGAAAGAGGUGAAAGGCGUGCAGCAGUAUACAAGUCUGGACUGUUGUUUGCUGAGGGCAAUGAUUUGAUAUAACGUGUAUUUUGAUAAUUAUUGUCAUCCAUGUAAUCCCCAGUACUACUAAAUCCCCAGAAAUUAUUAGAUCUAUAAUAUCUUGCUGAACCGCCUUCAGCUUCCGCAUCUCCUUCAUACAAAACUUUUUCAGAAUUUUCUUUAAUCUGUAGGUCAUUUCCGCCACUAUUGACAUGUAGCGAACACCCAUCUGUCAUAGGGAUGCAUAAGCACUUUAAUGAAAAGAUACAUAGCCUAAAAAAUUUACAAACAUGCAUCAAUAAAUCACAUAUCAGGAAAGUUCCAAAAGAAACUUGUUUUAAAUAUAUGAAUGAUUAUAUCAUAUAUUAUUCCUACCAUCUGUAUGGAGUUCCUCAAAGGCCCUUGUUGAAAAAAGAAAAAUGAAACAAAUUUAAAUGUUUGAUUUCACAAACCUCAAGACCUUUCGCCUCAAUUUGCUAAAUUUACACACACACAUCAAACCUGUUAGAUUUUAUAUCACCUCCCAACUUAUGGAUCAGAUACUGCUUUCUUGAUUGUACAUUUUCACUUCUUAACUUUACUAGGUUGAUCAUAGCUUUCUUGAUGAGCCUUUAUUGUAAGAGUUUGGUAACAGCAAACCCAUUUUGUUUUAAAAUAUUCUCGAGGGAAAUUUAGAAUUGUCAUGAUACAAGUAAAAAGGCCAAACCUUGAAAACUAUAAUUGCAAGUAAAUUAAAGGAUGUACACGAUAUUACAUGAAGCAUCAGUUUACAUGGUUGUUACAACUUUUGACCCUUGAUUUAUUUACACAAAGGCUGAAGUUAACUUGCAAGCUAAGUCUGUUCAUGUAUGGAUUUGCAAAUAUAGGCUUGUCUUAGUCCAUUUCUUUACCCAUAAUAUAAUAAUAAUAAUAUUAAUACAACAACAUUUACCUAAGAAAGUACAUGAAGAAUUUAAGGCAGUUAUAGACGCAAACAAAAUCAAAGAAAAAAACAUACAUCUAGGACAGGUGAGAUCUUCUGUGCAUGGAAGAAUUCCCCUCCUGUUACAGAUGCUGAUGAGAUACUUUGGAAGGAAUCACAGAAUAAAAAGAAAAUCUGGGUAAAUCCUAGUCUCUUCUUCGUUUUUAGGUGUAAUAGCAAGACAUACUUUGUUUGAGGAAGGCAAAAGAAGCAACUCACAAUGGAUUUCCAGUAGAAGAGCUUUUAAACAAGUUGAUGUAAUAAUUCCUGAUUGUUAAAAAAAUGAAUCAGAAUAUUAAUAUUAAGAGUUACCAACUAAUAUGUUGCAUACAAGAAGAAACAAAAAAUCACGCAAAAGAUUCUGACAUGUUUGAACGACAAGUCGGUUGUCCCGGGCCUUGCCAUGUAAAAUUGUUGUAGGAGAGAUCACUGCACACAAUCAUGAAGAUGUUAUCAUCAUAUAAACAGAUGUAAUGACUUGUAGAAAAAUAAAUGUGUGAUAAAUUAUACCAUACUGGGUUUCUCACAUAAGUUUCUCACAUAAAGAGUAUGUGUGUGUGAGUUAUUCAAGCAUUCUGUUUCUGAAAUAUAUGUUAAAGUUUUUUUAUAUAAGAAUACGGAAACAUGAAUUGUGGAUUCUGGUAGAUAGGCCCUUGCAUCUACAUCAUGUUAACCCACGCAGGAAAAGCACAAACAGCAGCAUCAAGAUAUAUUACGUACACGCUAAAACCAUCUUUUAAGAUUGAUUCUGGGAUAUUUCCACUUAGCAUAUUCCCGGCUAAAAACCUGUUUAGGACAGCGGCAGUUAGCAUCAUAGAGAACAAAAGGUAAUAUUUUGCACAUGAUACUCAACAGUCAAUCAAUACUUUGGAAGCAAAGCAAGUAAAAAGCUAGAACUUACCACCGGAGCUGAAAAACAUUCUACUCAUAAAUUGGUUGAGAAUGAGCAUUUAAGUAAUAUAUAAAUCAUGUGAAACUAUAUUUAAAUAAUAAUACUGGCCCUGAAAUUUCAGUGAUCAAUUCUAAAAGGAUAAAUCAAUAGCAUGAAUAUAGUUUUUAGAAUAUUAUGCUGUGCUGAGACUGAAUUUUUAUAUUAUACUUACACCAUUCUCAGACUUUUACCACUGAUGUCAUUUGGAAUUUCCCCCACUAAUCUGUUAAAGCUUGCAUCCCUGAUCAGAUCACAAUAGUUAGAUGCUACCAGAAGAUCAAGUACAUGAGAGUACUAGUAUUCGUAAUAGACUAAUAGUACAUAUGAAGUGGGCCCAGCAAAUUUUUAGUAGUGGAAAUAUAUCGAUGCCUGUGAUUUAAUUUUAGAAUGUUUAGUUCUUCUGCCUGUGUUUUCUAAUCUCUUAUACAAGGAGGGUUAUCAUUUGAAUAUCGUGUGUAUGCUAUUUUACUAUUGGCCAUUUGCAUAUGUUUUUCUGGUAGGAAGUGAUUUUGAGAUGCGACAGGAGUCUUUCUAAUAUCGUUUUGGAGUUUGACGCCAUAGCUCAAGCGAUUUCUUGGGUAUAUAGGUUCUGUGAUCGUAUUUUGGUUCCCGGGAUAGUUCAUGCCUUUGUUUACAGAACUUGAAGAUAGAAAAGUAACAUCACUUACACCACUUCAACCAAUUGCAUUUGCCAAAUAUAUGGAGGGAAUUCUCCAGAAAGAUUGCAGCUUCUCAGGACCCUAAAUCCACCAGUAAAUUAAUUUUAAACAAAAAAGUGGAUGCAUAAGCUUUAUUACACCAAUGAAUGUAUGACAAACUGAUAUUUGUAUAUCUGUAUUGAACUUACAAUCGUAUUAUUCCUGUAAUUCUACUCAGGUCAGGAAAUUGCUGAAUUGGGCUUUUAAUGUCGGUAAUCCUCCUGUAAAUUCAGAAGACACAAAUUACACAACAAAUUAUAUAAGAAAUCAGUUAUUCAAUAAGCAAACCAAAUUCAUACAGAACAGAUGUAAGAGGUCAUUCACUCACAAGUCAAUUAAUUUCUCCAGAACCGAUAUGUUUGACGGUAUAGGUCCCUCCAGUCCACUUCCACACAUUUCUCUUUAUUGACACAUAAAAUUCAAUACUUUGCAAAAGAGAAGAAUUAAACAAAAAAGCAUCAAGAUGGAAAAGAUCUUACAGUCUGGUAAGAAGGUUCCAGCUCUGUAUAAAUUCAGGUAUUGGACCACUAAAAUUGUUGUCAUUGAUUCUACUGCAUGUUCCAACAGAACAGUAGUCACUUGACAGUAAUAUUAAAAAUAAAGACGGAGGUAUGAAAUAUAUUGAUAAGGACUUACAAAUCAGUAAGAUUUUUCAGGCCAGCAAGAGUCGCUGGCAACCUCCCUGAAAAUUGAUUUGAUGACAGCAUCCUAGAAUUCCAACAUGUUACAAAAUAUGAUAUAAAAGAAAGUCAAACUGAGGAGGUCCAUAAAGCCACACAUCAGCAAGACAGCUCAGCACAUACUUUGGGAGUGAAUUAGUUAGUUAGGAUAUUCUGUUAUUUUGUAUAAAGGCUACAUAGUGAGUAUGAAACAUAAAAACUUUCAUAUAUACAUUUUAUUAGUAGUGGAAUGAUAGAUUUCUCUCUAGACUGUUUCUGUGGUGAUUGUGUUGCAUAAUUGAAGUUUUAUAAAAGUGACACAACAUAAUGGAGCAGGUGAACAGGCUAUGAUGCACAUAGAUUUGAGUAUAUAUUUAACACGAAAGCAACAUAUAACUCGGACAUGAAGAGUCUUAGCAUCUUACAAAGUUUCCAAGUUCUGCAGAUUCUGAAACUCCGCAGGUAAAGUACCUGAAAAUUCGUUUGCUUCAAGAGUCCUGUCAAAAUUUUCCAUUUAAUCAUAAACCAGCGAAACUCAAAAACAACACAUACUUUAAGUAUCUACAGAAUGUGCUUUAAGUAUAGUAUCAUUUUAUGAGAUUUGAAAUUUUACAUAGCCAUCACGAUGUCGACAAGAUAAAACAUUAGUAGAAUUUGUUGGUUCACUUCUACUCGGAUGCAUCUUUUAGAACUUCAUAUCAUGGACUUUCCGUGAAAUAUAUCUAGUAGAUAUUAGAUAACACUCAUAAUGGAGACCUACAGAUAUUUGAGAGUUGUAAUAUUUCCCAAUUCCUUUGGAAUUUUGCCUGACAAACGGUUUACAAGGAGAGAACUGCAACAAAACUUCAGUUGUUAAACCAAAAAUUAUCAGCAUGUAACUUAGUUUAAUAACAUGCAUAGUAGAAAUGGCAGGCGUACAUUAAAGUCAACUGUGUUGAACCCCACUCAGGCGGUAUCGUACCACUUAGGUAAUUGUAAGCAAAAUCACUGCAAAAUUUGGACUUCAAUUAAUUAUCCCUGACAUAUUUAUAUACUUGAAGCAUUACAAUUGUAUUCGAUAGGGAUCUUACACUUCACGGAGGUAAUGGAGCUUUACUAGUUGAGGGGGAAGAACACCAGGAAGAUUAUAACGCUUGAGGACUCUGCAGAUAUAUAAUAAGUUUGAGCUUUAAUUUCAAAUAGAAUUUAUAACCAUUUCCCAUUAGGUGAAUUCAGGACAUUAAAGUUCUGAAUGAAACCAAAGGCAUUACGUUGAAGAAUUCACAUAAAGAAUUUACUAAUAUACAUCUUCACAAGACAGUUCUAAAUAAUAGAGGAGCGGGAUAUACAAGGUACGUUUGGUUUGGUAUGGUGCGGUGCAUUUUGAGGUACGGCAAAAUGUAUAUAUUUGUGUGAGCAUGUGAGCGUGAUUCUGUCACGGCAAAGGUGAAGUGGUUACUAUUACUAAUAAACCGAGAUGUAUAACUGACAAAUAAAACUAACAUGAACGAGUGAGAUAAGAACACUGUACAUCCUUACGACAUGACAUGUUGUGCUGUUGUCAAAGUCACACUCACAAUCAACGCUACUUUCAGAUCCCUCAGGCUUCGUAGGAGUUGUCCCAACUAUUUCAAUUUGGCAUAAAUCACCAUUGAACUUCCAAUAUGUUGCCCCCAUAGUAGANCGUCAACUGUACGACAUACAGUAAACUUAUUAAUUGUUAAUUUGACAAAAAACAGAUAAACAAGAAAUACUAAUGUCAAUUCUCUAACAAGCAAAUAUACAAAAUACAUAUGCAUAAUAUAAAAUCUUGAUAAUCUGACCUAAUUGAGCAACAUCAAGAAGUAUAAUUCUACAACACACAAUUAUUGAAGAACACAUAAGCAUACAAACACAGUAAUAAAUCAAGAACUCGCUUACUUUCUUCUUGCAACAUCUUGGACUCUGAAAAUCUCAACACAAAGAAACAGCAGAACACAAGAAUUUUGAGAACUGUUGGGGUCCAACCCAUCAUUAUAAAGCCUCAAAAAACUGAUGAUGUCUACUUAAAGUGGAACUAUGGAGUUUUAUUACAGAACAAGUAGUCGUAUGAUCUUUUGGGUUUGAGUAUGGUAAUGAUGGGUUUUGUUAAUUGUUGUGGAGGUUGAGAAAUAUGACAAGUUGGGGGAGGACAAUGAGCCGGAGAUUGUCGGAACGCGACAGAUUGAUGCAGAUAAUGUAAUGUACACACAAAUACAACAUUAGAUACGUCAGUACAGACAUGUGUUGAUGGUUGUUAUUUCUUGAUACUCCAGUACUAUUAAUUAAUCAAGGUGAAAGAAAAGUAAACGGUCACUUUUUCAAUAGCCAGCCUGGUGAUUGUUAUUUUAUAUCUAUAAAUUCAUUGCAGAAAUCGGGAAUCGGACCAAAUCGGCUGAGGUACUGAUUCAAUCAGAUUUAUUUUAAUAUUAAAAUAUUAUUUAAUAUUUAGUUAUUAUUAUAUUAGAUAUUUAAUAACUAUUAUAUUUACUAUAUUCAUAAACUCUAUAAUUCUAUAAUUAUUCACAUUUAAAGUAAUAUAGUAUUUUAAUUUUAAUAAUUUAUCAUAUAUACUUUGAUUAAAAAAUAUAUAUAAGGAUUAAUCGGAUUUCAAAAAUCGAAUUGGUGGCUGACGUUAGGGGAUUAAUCGAGGAUUAAUCGGUUAAAUCGGGGAUUUUUAGAAUACUGAUAAAUUCUGCUUAUUAUUUUUGAUAAAUUUUGGUAGAGUGGUUUUAUAUUCUAUGAUUAGAUUUUUAUAUUGAGAGUCCGAUGAGGUAUUAAAUACUGAUGAUUUCAACUAUCUUCGUGUUUUUAGAUUGUUAAUAUUUCUUUAGAUUAAAAUAAAUUACUAAAAACAAGAUUUGUAGCUCCUACAUUUCAGCUUAUAAAUCAGAAUUUAACUUAAAAAUUUAUUACACAAACGAUACAGUUAAUUCUAACUUAAAAUGAUAAAUGAGUCGUAGACCCCAACCAUACAGACAAAAAGAAAAAAAAAAGUACCAGUAAGUGUACGAAUUAAAUUAAAUUGUGUAUUUAGAUAAUUUAUUAUUAUAGGUGAUUUACAACCUAUUGAAAAACUAAAAAUAAUAAAUUUGAUAAAUUAUUGUUUAGAAUGAAGAAAUUGAUUUUUGUCAAAAACAAAUUUUUUAAUAAAAAUAAAUUAAAUUAUUCAGAAAAAUACAUUAAAUUAUUCAGAAAAAUACAUAUUACAUUUUAAGUCAAACCGUUUUUAAAUUUCAAUUCGAUGUAUGAUGUACUGAAUAAAUAAACAUUUUUUACUAAAGUUGGAAAUCACCUGUAUAUUUGAUAACAAAGAUGCUCAAUAAUAUUAAAGUAUUACUUAUUGAAACUGUAAUAAAAAAUUAAUAGUCCUAAUACAAAACGUAGAGUACGAGGACAUGGAGAAACAUUGGUUUAUUAAGGUGAUUAUGAAGAGAUUGCAUUGACUUUAAAUGUCUUUAAUGUCAUACGGCUCUGCAGACAUUUUAGACGUGAAACAAUAAUUUGAACAUUAUACUAGUAUUAUUCUGUUACGUUGAUCCAAGUCUUGUGUAGAGACCACUUGUAAUUAAAAAAUGCUGGGGGUCAGAAAUUAGAUAUCAGAGCCCAAAUACCACAUAAAUUGUCACUGUCAUUACCGCUGUCCGUCCGUUUAUUACAUAUUUACAUUUGUUUGUUUGAAUAUUUCCCUAAUGUAGUUAGCAGAGCACUCAUAUUUAAAGUCAAGAGAAAUUGAUUUCAUACGUAAGUCGCUCACAAUUGUCGACAUACUCAGCUGAAACUAGGAGUAAUCGCUCACAAUUUAUACAUAUUGCUUGAGAUUUUUAUAUGAUGAUAUAUUGUUUUCAAUGUGUAAAUAUGUAUUAAAAUAAAAGUCAAGAGAAUGAGAAUAAUGAGCGGUCAAAUAAAUCGGCUAGUCAAGUAGUAAUACAGAGGGAGUGUUUAUUAAGGACAAUUUGCGUCCUGCAGGCUGCAAGAAGGAAAGAAAGUAGCUAAUGUUAACUGCAACUCUGAGUAUCUUCACGGCUUCAGUGGAAUCAAUUUAUUCAAUACAGAGAGGUGUGUUCAUCGUGCUGUACUUUCUCUACAUUUUUGAGCCCAUACUUAACUUUUUUAUCAUCACCUUCACAUGCAUUGACGAAAGACAAACAUCAUCAACAACAAAAUAAUCUACUUGUUGAAAUAGCUAGGCUACUGAUUCAACUACAACAGGAUGACAAGCUAUCACAGAUUGCAUGCAUUUAUUUCACAGAAACGAUCCGCCAAAACAUUAAUAUGAUAUACUAGGAUUUUUGCCCGCGAUGCAUGGUUUAGUGUUGAGUAAUAUAUUGUUAAGAAUGGAAUGUUAAAUAUAGUUUUAAAUGGCUAUUGCUGAAAUUUGUUUUGUUUUGUAUUGUGUGUCCAAAAGUUUUAAGUUGAUUGAAUAGAUGUUGUAUUGUGUAAUAUUUAAAUGUUGUCGUUGGGCUUGUAAUUGUGGUUGGGUUUUGUUAAUGGAUUGUGAAUCGGAACUGAAGUGUCAAAAGGAAAAGAGGCUUAUUUUUCAUAUUAAUGAAGGCCAAAUUUAUUUUCAAUAGGGGACAAAACAUUUCAACCCCUACGAAUUUAUUAUGCUUGAAUAGUUAAUGAUGUCCACAUACCCAGGUUCUUGGCAGCUUUAUAUAUCUGUAACAUAAAUAAAGCAAUAAGAAUGACUUUAUUAAAAACGGCUGCAUAUUCACCUGUAACAGUCAUUUAAUUCAUUACUAACAUAGUUAUUUGACAAACUAAACAGAGCAUAUAAAGUUCUUCCCUACAAAUUUUAUGACUGUUCAUCUGCACAUGCAUGUGAGACGCUGUUAAGAAGAAAUUUGAAUUUUUAGUGAUGGAAUAUUCUGGGAAGAUUGUUGAGAAGUUUGUGAAGUACUUGACUCCUGAUAGUGUACUGUUGGAUGAGAUGGUGAUUAGGGUUUUUAUAAUUUGUGUUUGUUGUUCGUUUAGAUUUAUAUUUUGAGAUUUGUGUAUGCCCUUUAGCGUUUUCUUAUGAAAUUUAUAACCUGUCUGUAGCGAGUUCCGGCAUCGUUUCGUCUAAAGCAUGAACAUCGGAUGGACGAAGCUUUUUAUCUGAUUUUGCGCACUGGCUACAGGGUCCGCGUUGAAUUUGAUAAGGAGAGAGGGACCUUAUCUGGUGUUCAAGCUUUGUAUGAAGAUUUUAAUCUCGUAGGUGGUGAGUUGCUUGUGUUUGAACUGACUGGCUCACAUGAUUUUCAUGUUUAUGUCAUUGGUGUUGAUUUCGCUGAGAUUGAGUAUCCCUCGAUUGUUCACACGUCGCAAAAGUCUCGUCCUCUAAAAGGUAUAUACCAUACACAGAAUUUAGUUUUCUUAUAAUGGUGUAUUGGAUUUUGUGUUUGAUGUAAUGUCAACUGUUUGUUUGCAUGUAGUGUCUCUAAACAGAGGUGGUUUCAAAUUUGUUCAGUUUGUGACUCCUGGAUCUGAUUUCACUCAUGUUCUGGUACUGUUUGAAAACCCUUUUUUUAAUCAAAUUUUUCUUGUUGAAUUAGUGUCUUCCCCUUUUAAGUAUUGGUAAAUUGUUGUUGAUGAUGAUAGGGUGCUCCAAAGAGAUUCAUGGAUCGUGUUCAUUUAGCUCUUACUUUGACAAAACCUCUUCAUUUCGUUUUGAGUAAUGGAAAGAGGUUUGAUGCCAAGUUCGAUAAAACCACACGUACUUUCAAUGGACUGCAUGUUAUGUGUGAAUGUCUUGGUCUUGAGGAUUUGAAUGGAUAUAAUAUGCUUUUGUUUACCUAUGAAGAAGUAGGCAACUUGGUUAUAUCUGUUUUUGAUGAUGAUUUUGUUGAGAUAUGUCAUGCUGGAACUCCACUCUCCAUUGGUAAAAUUAUCAAAAUUCCGUUUUGAAAUUUUUUUGGUUCUGACAGUAAGUUUGCUUAAUAUCUUAUGAGGAUAAUACUGUUUCUGCUAGUUCCCAGCCUAACCCAACCUGCUGUGCAUCAAUGGUUUGAGAUCACUGUUAUGCCCUUCCACAUGAAUCAAUACUGUCAUGGUGUGGUAAGUUAAAGAUAAAGUAAUAUAUAUUGAUAAGUUCUGCUGGCUUGAUUUUGUUGUUGAUCAUUUCGUCUGAUGGUAACUUUGCACAGGAUAUAUCAGCAGAAUUCAAACAAAUGUGGUACAUGUGGGGUAAAACUGAUUACAUUAACGUGUACUCUGGAUCUGGUGCUUGGAAAUUACAGGUCAGGCGCCGACGAAAGUGGGAGCGAACAACUAUUCAUGACGGGUGGAUCCAGUUCAGGGAUGAAAUGAAUUUAGAUGUUGGGGACAAAUGUAUUUUUGAGUGUCCUCGUUUCUCCUACAAACACUAUAGUGUACGCGUAGUAAAAAGUGGCUGAAGAAGUUGUUUAAUCAAAUUUCUGGUCAACUGUUAGACCUUUUGUUAUUGUUGGAGAUUGAGUUGUAACUUGACAGUUGGAUUUAAGUUAACUUUAAAGUUUUCGUAAUGUUUCCUUGCUUGUAUUAUUGUAGACUUAAAUUUUCUUUAAAUUGUUUGCUUUCUGAGUAUGUUUUUAUUGAAUUUUUGAAUUCGAUUCCACUGUUUUUCUGCUGAUAUCUGUUUGUUAAUAGUUUUGCUGUGAGAAAGUAUUAAGUUGUCAGUUAAGGAAUGGGGCCAAAAUGAAGGUCUGUAGCGUUGAGAGACAGUUGUGGUAUUAAGUGAUGUCCUUUUGGAGUAAUGUACGCAGUUAGAGUAAACUUGGCUGUUGAGUAUAAUAAAUUUUAGUUGGGGAAGUCAUUCAUUCAUCCUGAACUACCCUUUCACAUAGUGUUGAGUUUUUAAGUAAGAGGCUGUUAUACAGCAAGUUUUGUAUCUUUGGACACUUUGAUAUUCAACACCCAAGAGAAUGUUUGUAGAUAUCGAUUUCUCUCCGAGGUUUGUGGUAGUAGUGAAAGAUGCUGACCAUGUUUUCAAUCAGCUGGUAUGCCUUUUUCCUCUCUGAAAGCUGUUUUAUUUGUAGUAUGUAUAUAGAAAAUGUGAAUGCUCUUGUUUAUGAUAAAGUGGUAUGUAUGCAGUUUAUCCCUCAUGUCUUCUGUAUGAAGUAUGUUCCUGUAAUGCCUUGUACGGUGAAGUUGUCUUUGGUUAAUGGAUAUGAAAUCUGGCUUGAUUUUGACAAAAACAAAGAAGUGUUAUCCGGCGUGAAGGUAUUUCUUGAGGAUUUUGGUGUUGUUGAAGGGCAGACCUUGGUGUUUCUGUAUGUUGGAGGUUUUGACUUCCAUGUCCGGAUUUUGGGGCUUGAUGGUUCAGAGAUCGAAUAUCCUUUCAUCCGUCACCCGUCUCAGACAUCAGAACUGAAGCCAGGUGAAUUUUUAUCCUUAAGUACUGAACUGUGUCUGACAUAAAUUGAAUGUUGUGUUUUGUUUCAUUUUUUACAGUGGAUGUAGAGGUAUCUGGUUUGUCCUUUGCAACUUAUGUGAACUGUGGUCGUCAAGUCAUUGAUGAAGUUGUGAGUUUACUGUAACUUUAAGAACAACAUAUUUUAUUUCUAAAUGUUUUGACUGGACUGAAUUGUUAGUAUGUAAUGACUCUGUAUUAGGUUAUACCGGAAACUUUUAUUGAUCGUGUUGGUAUGGCCCUUCAUGAGAGUUUGAUAUUCGUGUUACGCGGAGGUGAUCAUUUUGUUGGAUGUUAUAACCGUGAGAGGAACACUCUUAGUGGAAUUGCUAGUUUCUGCAAAAUGCUUGGGAAAAAUCACUUGGACUGUUAUAACAUACUGUUUUUUACGUAUGACGGAAGUCGUAACUUCAAUGUAAAUGCAUUUGAUGCUGCUAUGGUUGAAACAUCUGUUUAUCCGAUACAGAGUCUGAGGUACCAAGUUGUCCCGUACAUCACAGCUUUUCACAUUAUGGUGGGGCAUUAUGAUAUGUUGCCGUAUACUUCCACUGUGGUAUGAUUUUUCUUUAUUAUCAUCUUUAAGGUAGCUGAACAUUAUAUUGCUUUUUGUAGUUGUGCUCUUACUUUUCCAACUCAUUGUUCCCUAGGAAAUCAUGAUCAAGUACCGGAAUGUUGCUUUAACCUGGGAUAAGGCAGAUUGGAUAACUGUAUGUAAGGAUGAUCAGCGCUGGAUCCUUGCAGUUUAUAAGCAUAAGCAUCGAUUGACGACUUCCAUCAUUAAUGGUUGGAUUAAGCUGAGAGAUGAUUGCAACCUUGCAGUGGGUGACAUAUGCGUUUUUGAAUGGAAGGAUGAAACACUUCGUAACUUCAAUAUACGUAUUCUGAAGAAUGACGGUAAUCGUGUUUCAUUUUGAGAAUUUGUGUUUGUGGUAGGUUAUUGUCCGUGAUGACAGACUAAGAAUGUUUACUGGUUAUUUUUGUUUAAGAUUUUGUAGGCAGUAUCAUGUAUUUAACUGUUAAAACUGAAUUUCCCUGCUUUUGCUUAACUGCGGUAGUAUAAAAAUGUUGAAUAUUAAUUUCUCAUGAGCUUAGUAGCAGAUAAGUAGCAUGAUCCCGGAAUAUGUGUUGUUGUAGCAAUUUAAAUUAAUGAGACAACUUUGAAUGCGCAGUACAAAAGGUCAACAAACAGUGUAGUUAUACUCUGCUUUAGUCUGCAAAUCACAUAUGUUCUAGUAAAGAAACAUUGUUGCCAAAAGAUUACAUAUAGCCAGAAGAUUGUUAUCCAGGUUAUAUCUGGUUAGUUGUACCCAUGAAAAGAUAUGCAGUAGUCCUUCAUUUAGUGGUUGUAAUUUUUCCAAAAGUGUGCCUGUAAAGUUGAAUUAGAUUUUUUUGUUAGUACUACAGAAAUUUUAACAACCAACAACAAACUAUGUGAAACAAAUUACUGACCCAUCUUAAGUUAAGAUCAUAGAGCCGGAGGGUUUAGUUGUGAAAUGGUGUCAAGGUGUAAAGAAGAAUCUGAUGGCUGCAGAGUCAAAACAUACGAAGUUAAAUGAUUGUGCACAAUGUAAAUAGGUUUGGCGAAUUUAUAAGCAUACCUCACAAAAAGUUGUCUGUGUAGUGCGACUUUGAUCGCCUUCAUCAACAAUAGGUUCUGGUGUGUAUUCCCAUCCGACCAUGAUAUUAGAAGCAACAUACACUUCAUCCUUCUUGUUUUUGUUUUCAGUCGAUAGGCGAAGUACCACUGUGUAGUUUUGGCCUUGGAUUUUUUUUAGUUCCGGAGGGAAUACAUUAUCCUGCACAGUUAAAUACUAUAAAUUCUUACCAUGUUUCAGUGCGAAGAAGUUGUGUUCUUAUUUAUGUGUGAGGGGUAACCUGUGGCUUCAGAUCAUUAACACCCUUUUUGAUCAAGUUCAUAACCUCUCUGUCCUUUAGAACAAUUUCCAGUCCUCCUGUGUCAUCAGCUGCAACAGUAGUAAUCUUGAACCUGUGGAAGAAAUUGUUUGUUGUUGAGUGAUCAUCUGCACUAAUUUUGUUCACACGGGUAGGGUAAAAAUAUAACCUUUUCAAGGCGUGAGGAACAAUGCGAUCACAGUGAGUACAGAACUUUGAACCAUUGUCUUCUUUUGUUUCCAAAUAGCAAGAUGAGCAAAUGUCCUUGUUCCAGUCCUUUCUUAUCUCAACCAACUUUAUAGUAACUUUACAUAUUACCUCGUCCUGUAGUAAGUUUAGAAAAAGAAACAAAAAGAUUUUUUUUCAAGUGUGAUAUUAAACUCUAUUUUGUACUAACCUCUGCAAAUUCAGCGGGUAAAUUCUUGAUGUUGUUAAUCUUCAUUAACUGAAGAGGUUUCCUUUUGCGAGAGAACUUAUGUUUGGAGAAGUUUGGGUCUUGCAACCUAUAUUAAGUUGUAACAUGUAGUAAAAAACGUAGUACCAUUUGUAUAGAGUGUUGAACAUGUGAAUCAUACAUUUUCCUUAGUCUUGCAACGCUGUGGUGCUCAUAGUUAAUGUAGAAUUGUGUUGGACUAUAGUUGGCGACGUCAAUUUCAUCUGCAAUGAGCAUAUGAAAUGAAUAUUUGGCCAUGUGUUAGGGAAAGUUGAUCCAUAGAUGUGUGUAUAAAUUACCAUGCCAGGCACUGAUUUUUGCACUUGCAAUGAUGACAAUUACUGGUUGUUCCAAGUCAUCAGUGUAAGCUUUUUCAAAUUCUUCAGCAAAAUCCCCCCAGAAUGUUACAUUGAGCUUCUUCCUGUUUUGAGCAUGGUAAUUUUGUUAGAUGAUGCAUAAAUAUAUAUGUUUUUUUUGUGUUUUGCGAAAUAAGUGUAUACCUUCCGUCACUCAGUUUGAACCUAACAUUGACAGUGCGCACACCCUCUUUGUUCGUGUACCUGUUUAUAUCAUCCUUUUUCUCCACAACCCCAACAAUAUCUUCAGAAAAAUGUACAGAAGUUAGAAAUGAUGCAGUUAUUUCUAAAUUAAUUGAUAAUAACCAACAGGUGUUUUUUUGUUUCUUACCAGUUAGGAAGACAAUUUGUUUAGCUCUAUUUUGAAGUUGUGAAUAUUCAAAUAAGUCAAACAUGUUCUUGGGUAUAAAGACUUCAGAUUCAGCAAGUUCCUUAAUCUUGGUUUCAGUGGUGAACACAAUUUGUUUAUCCAUUUCUACUGCUCGGUAUUUGUCAGUUGGGGUAUAGUCUUUGACCUGGAAAUUUUUUAUAAUGUAUAGAUUUCCAUCUACUAAAAUCCUACCCAAUCUUUCAGACAUUGAUCCAGGAACAAAAGCAUGCAUACGACAUUUCUGUUACAUUUAGUAAAAGUAGUUAGAUCAAUACAAAUGCUGUGUUUGACAAAGAAAAACAAAGUCAUUUAGUUAGAUGACAUACCUUUCCAUCAAGAAGCAGCAAGUUCAUUCCUUUGAAGACAUCGCCGUGCCUAGUAACUACCUUCCACACACGUAUGACUCGUACUAUUAUCUUCCAGUCAGAUCUUGCACUCUUCAAAUUCCUGAGGUUAUCACAGUUGUUGGUUGCCAUUUUGUCUUAGGUUUACUCUACUGUCUUUCAGCUUAAAGGAGUUUCCCUCCACCUUUUUUGUGUUUUGUUGUUGGAGACCAUUAAUGCUCCUAUAGGGUUGGUGGUUUUUGUACUUGGCUACGUGCGUUAUGUAUUUUAAAUUUAAAAAAAAGCACCUAUUUUCUUUCUUAUGCAGCACGCUUUAUAUCUUCGAUUUUGAAAUGUUUGAGUUGUAUAUGACAUUAUUUAUUUGUUCGGAAUCCGUUUGUUAUUAUUAUGUAAAAACACCACAAAUUCUGGAUUGUUUUGUAACCUUGAUUUAAACUUCGGGAAUCUGAAGAUUUUAGAACAAUUGAAAGAGUUAAUUGAAAUAAACAUAAGUACUUAGGUCUGGAAUUUUACAGAAUUUAAGAGAUACAGAGCGGUGGAAUUAAAUGUUUAAGCUUUAACUCUUGUAAAAGCUAGAAAAAGAUUGAGCUUUGGUAAUGUUCUCCAAAAACCAAGUGGGAUUCCAAGCAAAAGAUGGUACGCGAAUCUACUCCAUCAUCAUUUCUGCAUGAGAGGGGUAAAUUGUUAGGACGUGUUAGGGUGAUGAGUAUUAAUUAUAUGCUGGUACAUAUGUUUAAGCAACGUUACGGGAAAUACCUUUUCAGUCUUGAUUUCUUUGAGCUUCUGAAUCUUAAUUGAAGGCUCAUUUUCGCAGUCAGUUGGAUGUCUUGCAAUUCUUGGCUUUGUCUUGGAUGUCGAGGUCACUGUUGCUGGGCUUGUACCGACAACAUUAUCCACUGUCUGUUGCAAGACAGAAACCAAUCUUAGAAGUGUUAGACAUUCUAUAUCAUGCUCUAAUUCACUUACAAUCGAUAUCUGAGGUUCUUCAUUUCUUGUCGUUUUUUUCUGAUUUGGUACAUGGUCGUCUGAGACUUCCAAUGGGUUUGAUAUUGCUGUAGCUUGAUACACCUUGGAUCCUUUCUUCAGAUUCUCUUCUGUCAGCACAAUUGUCACUGUGUAUGUUUUUUUUUCGAAGCAUUUCAAAAUUGGUGGAAUGGAUUUAGUUUCUAGUACCUGAAAUAAGUCUAAACUUUUAAAGAAAUCAAAUUGAUUUUAAUACCAAAAGGAAAUUUGUGUAAUGAAUAGAUAAUUGUAAUGCAUUCCCAUUUAUUUGUAAUGUUUUAGUAAACUGGCUACCUCAUAGUCAUCUGCCUCUACAUCAUAUAUUGUUUUCCCUGUUAGACGGCAUAUUUCAUCAUCAGGCCAGACUAUUGGGAUUGUGCCAGUUUCAUCGCAACACAAACUAUACAGGCGGAAUCUGUUAUGGCAGUAAAUAAUUUUUUGUUAGUGAAAUAAGUGAAUAGAUAUUAGAUUGUGAUAUUUCCUUGUGAACAUUGAAUUUACCUCUUGUCAGGAUAAGGGUAUACUCUGUUGCAGCACUUGUAUUGACCAUCAACUAAGUGCAGAUCUUGUUCACACUGGAUGCAGAAAGGAGAGUACCAAUUCAUAUUCUCAUCAAACUUUUUGACAGUUACCUUGCAUGAAACCUUUUUCUGUGAAAAUGAGAAACUGGUUUCAUCAGUUACAUUUUUUAUCACGUAGAAGUUGGGUAAUUGAAUAAAGUAUCACCUCGAUAUAACUCUCAUCCAACUGUUUAAUUUCUUUUACUGUCAUGACUUGUAGAUCAUCGUCCUCAAUCUCAAUAUCCAAGUCCAUCUUAUAAAAGUCAGGCUGCAUAUGUCUAACAAAACACUUUUUAUAUAAAGUGUGUGGCUCUAGUCAUAAAAUAAAGUGUUGGAGAUUUAAAACUUAUUAUUUACCUUGUUCUCAAAUCCUCCACAGCGGGGUGGUUUAGGUUGAUGUAAAACCUAGUUGCUGGGAAGUUGGUUAGGUAAAGAACACCUGCAUGGAGAGACAGAUUUUGUAUAUUCCUACGAAAUAUGUUUGAUGUCUUAAGAAAGCGAGUAUAGUGCUUAGUACCUCUCCAUUCACUGACAAUUGCGCUUGAUAUGAUAAUUAUCACAGGUUCCUCUUUUGCUGUUUUCAUAGCUUCGAGGAAACUCACACCCAUCUCAUUGAAGAAAGUGACAUUGAUAGUUGUCCUUAUACAACAAAUUCAAUAGACUUAUCAAAUUCUCAGUUUUGUUUCCAGAAAUUCUUCUGUAGUUUGAUAAUGUAACUACGGGAAGAGACUAUUGUGUUUGUUAAUAUGACUAACCUUCCAUUACACACAGUGAAGGGUACAUGAGAUUUCUCUUCCCCCUCUUUCUUAAACGGAACUUUUGAUUGCACAUUCUCGACAAUAGCAACAAUAUCUAAUCAUAAGACAGCAAAGUAUCAGCACAAUAGCCACAUUACGCAGGAAAAAAAACCGUAUUUUAAACGAAAGCAUCAAAUUUUUAGUUUGUACAUUAACCAAUAACUACCAAUAAUGACUGACCUGUUAAAAACCUGUUGUCUUUCUUCAUUUUGUCAAGUUGUUCCAGGUUAAAGAAAUCAAAGCUGUGGGUUGGUAUGUUUGGAUCAUCUCCCACAAAUAUUUCCAUUUGUGUGUCUGACUGGAAAUAAAUAUGGUUGUCAUUGCGUACAGCCCUGCUUGUUUCAUCACCAAUAUAUUUUUUAACUAUAAAGUUUUUUAUAGUGUAUAUUCGUCCUUCCUGUAGUUUACUCUCAAACUUUGAAGCGAUUUUUGCAGAAAUGAAUCCAUGGAUCCGUGCACUCUACAAAAUUAUUAUUUGACUAAGGAGCUGAAAAUAAAGGAAAAUGUAAAACAUGACAGAAUAGGCAUUUGUGAUCUUACAGAUUCGUCAAAGAAAAUGAUAUUGUAUCCCCUAAGCUCUCCGGUGACCUUAGUGAUUCCUUUCCAAAUUGAUAGAGCUCGUACUUUAAUGUGCCAAUCAUCUCUGGACUCAUCCAAAUCCUCUAUACGAUCGUCUUUGUUGAAAGCCAUGAUUCAGAAGAGCUGUAAACCAAGGUUUGUUAGUUGUUUACAAUAAAAACAAAAGCUUGUGGUACAGUGGUAUACCUCUUCUUGACAAAGUUCCAGCUUUUUCUCUCAAGAUUCACUUUAACCUAGCAGAUGAUAUACAGUCAAAACCAAUAAUUCAACUCUAUACAACUGUAAAGUUAUGAGUUAUGAACCACAUAUUAAAAUACUUAAAUGUAUUAUUUAAGUUGAUGAGCGAAUGUACUUGUACUCAAGUUAUGUAUUUGUCCAGUGAGACGGGUAAUAUUCUUAUGCUUGAAAUGUAAUAUUCAUAUUAACACAUCAAAAUAUGCAUUAAGUGAUAGUUUUGUAGUUGAACCUUGAAUGUAACACAUGUCAAAAAACUGUUGAGUAAUAUUUCAUACCGAUAAAUUACAUAUCUAUUAAUAAAAAUGAUAGUUCUUUGCGCUUAACAGAGUAGCUGAGAUUCAUUUGAAACCAACUUCACCGAAGUGGAAUAUAGAACAUGGUACUAAAUAACUGGUACAUUGUAGAAGAUUUCCUUGUAUACUACGUUCGGUGUUAUGUUGGUGCUGUUACCAUUCAUAUCAUCGAUGAAAAUCUUGAGUCCAUCUGGUGAUGUGACACGACUAAUUGCAACGUAGAGCUGUCCAUGAGUGAAAACUCCCUUGGGUAGAAAUAAGCCAACUUUCUCGAGAGACUGACCUUGGGACUUAUUUAUCGUCAUUGCAUAACAAAUCUGGAGCGGCAUCUGUUUUCGAAUGAUCCGAAAGGGCAAUCGUGUCUCUGUUGGUGAAAGUUCCAUUCUCGGAAUGAAAUGUUUCGUUCCUUUGUAGUGUCCUGAAAUUACCUCGCAUUCAACACAAUGCUUCAGGCAUUUUGUCACCAUCAUGCGUGUACCAUUGCAUAAGCCCAGAGUCUGAUUUAGGUUCCGCAUCAACAUUACAACAACUCCGACUUUGAGCUUCAACUCAUGUAGAGGCAUUCCGGGAAUAUUGAAGGAGUGUAGAUACUCAGGAGGAAAUGCUCCAAGUUGUUCUCUCUCACUGCCUGGGAAAUCUUCAGCACUGUCAACACUAAAAUAUGAAGUACACUCACCUGGUAUCUUGUCUACUAUAACACUAUUGACAUUGCCAACAACUACAUUUGUUGGUGACAGAAUGGCGCGUUCACUCAAGUAGUCUGCAUUUUUGUAAUUGCUCAAGAAAUCAGGGAAUGUACUCUCCACCAUUUUGUCAACAGAGUUGACACCGUCUAGUUGGCAGAAUCUUUCUGGUAUUACAAUCAAGUCUUCACCUUUAAUUUCACCAACAAUUUCUGCAGUAGGAAUAUGGCCAUCACCAACUGCCAACACCCAACUGGCAAAAUCAGUCAAAGCUCUAACCUCUUCUGCAUUUUUGCCCUUUUGUAGUCUCAUGUUGUGUUUUAGCUUGAAGACGGUAGCAAUCUUCCAAAGUUUUGAAUUUGUAAUACAGGAAGAAACAAUCUCUCCACGUCCAGCUCUAGGGAUGACAGGUAAUAUCUGUCUGAAAUCACCACCAAAAACUAUUGUGAUACCACCAAAGGGUAAAUCGAACCUUCCAGGAUCAACUGCCUUCAUUAUAUCCCUCAAGCUCCGAUCGAGGCAUUCAAAAGAAAACCGGUGUUGCAUUGGGGCCUCAUCCCAAAUGAUAAGGUCGGUUUUUUUUAUGAGUUCAGCAAUAUCAGAUGUGUGAGAAAUUGAGCACAUUGAUAACUCAUCCAGUACAAUAGGGAUUUUGAACCUUGAAUGUGCAGUCCGACCUCCCGGCAUGAGCGUUGCAGCAAUUCCCGAUGAUGCAACAGGAAGAACUAUUUUCCGCUCUGAUCGUAGCUUGGAUAUUAAAGUCCUCCACAUAUAUGUCUUACCACACCCACCACUUCCAUAGACAAAGAAAACUCCGCCUUCCUUUUUUUGAACUGAUUCCAUGACAGAGUUGUACACGUGUAAUUGUUCUUCAUUACAUGUUGAGAAAAGCUCCUUGAAGUCUGCUUCCAUUUGUGUUGUGUCAUAACUUGUCUCUUCAAUAAUUAAAUUGUUGGCACUGCAAUCCAAAUAACUCGUUGGUGGUUGAGGCAUCUGGCUAUAAUCUUUCAGAGAUUUUCCAAUGCUUUUUAGUAGUGUGUGGAUUUCUGUAUGAUAUUCAUUGGAAUAAGUGUAGUUCAGAUGUUAGUUGUAAACAAAAGGACCUUAUUACUUGAAACCUAUAAUUCAUAGUUAGGAAAAAUACCUGCAAGCGCAAAGAAUUGUUGCUGCUUUUCAUUGAGGACCAAAUGAGGGUUCCCAGUGAGUUUUUGUUGUUUCAACAUAAGGUCAUCGACCAUAUGUGUCCAAUGUUUGGUCCACAAUUCAUUAAGAUCUGCAACUUUGCAAUUAACCAUUAUGUGGACAAAGAGCUGUCUGAUUUGAUGGGGGAAGCCGGAUUGUGAACAUUCUUGCAGUACAUGGUGCCAUUCGUUGUCAUCAUCCAGGAGACCAUAUUCUUUACAUGCUUGUUGAAAUGUUUUAUAAAUUUUACCAUUUACAGUCCUCAAGCUCUCAUAUGAAGUUGCACCACGUACCUUGGUCAGUAGAAGGCGUAAAUACCACAAUUCACCAGCUGAAUGAUGGGUGUAUGCAAGCCGUCCAAUCUUCUUCCCUCUUUUCCUUGGAACCCAAAUCCUGUCAGAAUCAUUCCACACAUAGUGUUGUGGUAUUUCAUCGUAUAGAAAUCUGGUAGCAUUAGUAUCUGAUGCAUUUAGAAUGAAGUAGGCCUCAAGUUGGCUAUACUUUUCCUUUUCACGUUGUGCUACUUUGUGAACAGGCUCGCUUGAUCUGAAAGUACAUUGUUUAUCACCCUCUAAAUGAAAGGACAGACGUUCCACAGCCAAUGAGCGGUAAUGUAUAGUGAAGCCAAAGAUCCGGUACGCAGCUUCACAUGCACAUAUGUACCUUCCAUCAAAAUAUGACUGUAUUUCAUCCUCACCAUCUGCAAUUUCUUUUCCAUUGUCAGUUCUUCUUUUUUUCCCUCUUAUUUCAACUGUAGCUCUGUCAUGGCCCUUGAGGCAGUAUUUGAAUAGGUACUUAAGACUUCUAGCAUGAGCACAGAUCUCAAUAUUCAUGUGGCACUGAUAUUUAACCAAAAGAUCACGAUUAUAGGGAACAACCCACUGAUUACCUAAAAGCGUUCUGCCCUUCUUAACAGUGAAUUCCGUCUCACGCCUUUUAUAGAUGGGGAACCCAGACUGAUCAAAUGUAGUAGCAGAGCAAAAUCUACAAUGAAAGCAGCAGUGAACAAUGAGUAUGUUAGAAAGACAAAACUGAAAGAGGUAAAUAUAAUCAUAUGUGAUACUCAAACUGAACUCAAAAACAGUAGAGGUAUUUACCUCUUGGGAAAAUGUCUUGUACACUUGUAGUCUUUCAUGCAUGCACAUUUGGGAUUGUCUCGACCACAAGGUCCGUGCAUCAUAAAUGCGGAGACGGCUUGAUAACCAACAGGAUCCAAUUCUGGAUCUGGAAUCUCAGCUGACACAUAUUUGUCUACGUUAGAAGUCAGAUUACGUUUAGAGGCCGAAUCAAGCCAGAUCAGCAUGUGAACAUGUGGAAGACCUCUUUUCUGGAACUCGACAACAUACAUAACUGUAAUAAAAAACUAUAUUAAUAAAGGAAAUAAAGCUUCAAUUACAGGGAUAAACAACGGUGGCAAAAUGCAUACCUGCAAGGCAGGUUCCAAAAUAGUUCUUUUUCUUAAUGUCAUCAAUAAGUUGGUCAAGUUUCAAUCUAAACACCCGAGCUAUAACAUCAGGUGAAUUCUGUGGUGAACACUGUGGUAUAAGUUUCAUCAUUUGCAAUAUUUCAUCCCAAAGAGGAUUUGUGGUCAUUGUGAGGAAUAUAUCAGGAUGACCUAUGUACCGGCAAACUGCAAGAGCAUCUUGGAAAUUCUGCUGCAUGUAUCUCCUUGAACCGACAAAGCCAGCUGGAAGAAUGAAGCUUUUACCUAUGUUUGUUGUGUCACUCGUACCCUGCUGUAAAGACCUCUUGAUGUUACUAUAUAAUUCACACCGUAAAGUAGUUUGAUUUCUUCUAAACCACCACAACCUUGCUUGUUCAAUGGUUGAGAAUGCGUCAACCAUAUAUUGUUGGUAAAGACGACCACCUAGACGUGGAGUAAUUGCUGAAGGAAAAUUGCAGGAGUAUUAAUAUUAUUUUUACAUGUAAAAUAAAUGGAUUUAACACGGACAAACAUAUAACAUAUUACCUUCGUUUUUCCUUAUUUGAAAUUUGUAGGAGUAAUUGCGUAAAUAAAAAGAAGUAUCUUUUAAAAACUGAGAAUGCUAAUUUUUCCUUCACAUCUUCUACUUAUUUUGCAUACACUUUAUUAAUUUAUUUAUUUUUCACUUCUACUCUAUUUCUUUACUUUAAUCAAACGAUUAUUAUUUUUUUCCAAAACGGCCCCAUUUUAAGACUGUUCGUUGGGAAUUAUAUUGUUAUCAAUUAUUUUAUUUUUUUUUAUAAAAACGGUAUUUAAAUUUAUUUUAAAUUAUUUUUUAAGAAAGUCUAAAUAACUAUAUUUCGUAUAAAUCUAAAAAAAAAUGAUAGAAAAAUUGUACAAAAUUGAACAAAGUGAGCGGAGGAGGAGGUAAUUCACCGUUCUCGAAGUGUUAUUGUUUGUAUAACGAUGGGUCAUUAGUCCUUACAUAAAGUGGUACUCUGAGUAUCUUCACGGCUUCAGUGGAAUCAAUUUAUUCAAUACAGAGAGGUGUGUUCAUCGUGCUGUACUUUCUCUACAUUUUUGAGCCCAUACUUAACUUUUUUAUCAUCACCUUCACAUGCAUUGACGAAAGACAAACAUCAUCAACAACAAAAUAAUCUACUUGUUGAAAUAGCUAGGCUACUGAUUCAACUACAACAGGAUGACAAGCUAUCACAGAUUGCAUGCAUUUAUUUCACAGAAACGAUCCGCCAAAACAUUAAUAUGAUAUAUUAUUACACAAGCAAAAGAAAUAAUUCAAUAUGCAGCUUCCCAGUUCAACCUGGCUAUAUUACAUAUGGACCCGCCAAAUUGUUUGUGUUCCAAGAAGAUCCUGCAUUUUCAUCAACAAAACCCGAAUGUUGUUAUUUAUAAUAGGAUCUGCAUAUGAAAUCAACUAAAAUAGAGAUAUGAAGGGGUGAUUUCGUAGUUCUGGCAAGUGGAUUUUGAGUUAUUCGCAUUGAAAACCGGAGGGAUUGUCUUUUUCACAGUGAUUGAAGACAUUAUUGAUAGCAAUAGGGAAGUCGAAGACGAUCCCAAGCACGUUGGCCUUAAGUGCAGUGCAAAGACAAAUUGCAGCCUCAAAAUCAAUAAGACCUUCCAAGAUUUUGCAGCAUGGCGUUGUUGGUGGGCUUCCGAAGGUUUGGCCUAAUGAUCUGCCCAGCAUAUCUGUACAAACUCCUAGCUUGAGAACGUUUUUCGGGCACGUAUUCUUGUUAGUGUUUUUUGGUAUCGGGGUUGCUGGUAGUGUAGGUGGAUAAGGCAGCGUCGGUGUUACAGGUAGAUUUGGUAUCGGUGUUGCUGGUAGUGUAGGUGGAUAUGGUAGGAUUGGCGGUACAGGUAGAAAAGGUAUGGGUGUUUCUGGCGUUUUUGGAAGUACCGGGGUUCCUGGGAAAUAUGUUGGUGUUCCUGGUAAUAUUGUUGGUGUUUCCGGAAAUAUGGGCACUCCUGGCAAAGAUGGUGGUGUUUCUUGAAGUAUGGGAGUGCCUGGUAAUGUAGGUGGGCAUGGCCCAUUAUUAGUGUUACAACUGAUGGCUGAAGUUAAGAAGAAAAAUAACAAAAUCAUAAGGAGAACAGGUGAUGCCAGAGUUUCUGAGAAAGCCAUUCUCAAAUGUGUGUUGUUCUGAGAAACCUUGUUUUGAAGAUGAAAUAGGCGAAACAGCUAGUAAUGUAAUUUCAGGUUCAUGGAAAUAUACCAAUAUUUAUAUAUUAGUCCUAGACCUAUAUAUAGUACGAGUAGAU